CAGCUCGAUCGCCCCUCUCGCUUGCUCUACCGAAAACAUUAAGUCACGUUUUGUUAUCCUCCGGUGGAACCGCAGAGCGAAACGCUUUCAGAAUUCUGCGCAUUGUAAACCUGUGUAAUUGAAUACCACCGGUAUUAACGGAGAACGCGAGAGGAACAAGAUAGAGACAACGGAAGAAACGAAGAGUCUCCCCUCUGUCUCCCCCUCUCCGGGUGAUGACGGAGGUUUGUGGUUAGAAACCCUAAUCUGCAUCUCAUGUGACCCACUGAUGGAUGGGAACAGCAGUCACACACACAUUCACACACUUAUACACGCAUAUGCACACACA
ensembl:lncRNA